rnacentral:rRNA from 1 species
GUACGGCUUAGAGCCGAUGACAUUAAAAACCAAGACAACUCUCAACAACGGAUAUCUUGGCUCUCAGAUCGAUGAAGAACGCAGCGAAAUGCGAUACGUAGUGUGAAUUGCAGAAAUACGUGAAUCAUCGAAUCUUUGAACGCAAAUUGCGCUCGAGCU